AUGGCCUCUCUGAAGAGAAGGAUACGAUCCGAAAUCAAUGUUGUUGAAAAUUACCGGUGUGAGUGGGGAGGUGUUGUGGAGGGAAAACCGUAUCUGAAAAAUCUGGAAGACUUUGGCAAAACCGUGCUGGAAGACCUGUGGAUGGCUGUAGUUAAGCAGUUUGUGGAGGAGGAUGACGAGGACGAGGACGAGGCUGUGUUCGAUGUGGCUAUGCAGGAGGUGCACCAGGGGGCGCUGCAGAGGCAGUUCUUCGGCAGGGCGAAGCUGCUGGUCGGGGCUGUUGAGAUAGUGGAGCAGGUCCAGGCCAAAGGAGGGGUGAUGGUCGUGGAGGGAGGACCUGGAGAGGGCAAAACUGUCUUCAUGGUAAAGUUAACAAAGGGUUUCUGA
rnacentral:lncRNA from 15 species